rnacentral:rRNA from 1 species
GUGUAGGCUGUCGCUGGUCCCCUCUCAAGGGGGCAUGUGCAUGUCUUCCUUUUCGUUGACCCUUCUCUCUCAUUACACACACCUGUGCACCCGUCGUAGGUCCUCGAAAGAGGAUCUAUGUUUUUUCACAUCACACCCCCGUCGUAUGUCUACAGAAUGUAUCGAAAACGUCGACCUGUUUUCGGACAGGCUGGCGUUUGAUAAUAAAUCAUACAACUUUCAGCAACGGAUCUCUUGGCUCUCGCAUCGAUGAAGAACGCAGCGAAUUGCGAUAAGUAAUGUGAAUUGCAGAUUUUCAGUGAAUCAUCGAAUCUUUGAACGCACCUUGCGCUCCUUGGUAUUCCGAGGAGCAUGCCUGUUUGAGUGUCAUUGAAUUCUCAACCAUGUCUUGAUCGGCAUGGCUUGGAGUUGGGGGCUUGCUGGCAGCGAAAAGCUGUCGGCUCCCCUGAAAUGCAUUAGCAAAGGACGGCGAGUCUCUGACGUGCACGGCCUUCGACGUGAUAAUGAUCGUCGUGGCUGGAGCGUCGGAACAUGCAUGAAUCGUCCCGUGCUUCUAAAUCCCCCCCCUAGCCUUUCAGGUUGGCUCGCUUUUAGCUACUAGUU